rnacentral:rRNA from 1 species
AUGGCGUCGCCCGCUCCCGCUCCCGCGACCGCGAAGCCCAUCGCUCUCCGGCGGCCGCCGGUCCCAGUCCGCGGCGGGUUCUGCCCGGUGCGUCCGUCCAUGGCUGCAGCGGCAGGCCGGCUCAGAGUCUCGGCCUCCGCUUCCGCCUCGGACGUGCCCGACUUCCUCUCCUCCGACUGGCUUGAAACACGCAAGAAGAAGCCUUUGGGCCCCAGGUUGAAUUUUAAUGCAGAAGAAGCAGUGGAGUACCAGCUUGAGGCCUUGAAAUACAAUGACAAACCCCGCCCGGAUUAUGGGGUUGAGGUCAUGUACCGGUUUGCAGGCUUUAAUCCAUUUGAAAGGUCAACUUAUUUUGGACGACAGUUUGAUCUUGGGCAGUUCGAACGUUUCCGGCGGAUAUUUCACCAUUCAACUUACAGGGUGCUGCUUGGCCACAAAGAAAGAGAGAUAUUAAGCAGAUUAUGGGUUGAAGAGAAUCAAUUUAAGCAGAGAGUUUGGAUCCGAGGAGCUCGCCCGGAGGAAGAAGAGAUAUUCCAGUUUACAAUGGUUCAGAGAGUUGGCGGCUCGUGGGACGGCUACUGGCUAACCGAGAGCUUGACAAACGACGACGGGGACGCAUUCUCAGGCGGGGUUGCUUAUUGA